rnacentral:rRNA from 1 species
UGGGGAAUAUUGCACAAUGGGCGCAAGCCUGAUGCAGCCAUGCCGCGUGUAUGAAGAAGGCCUUCGGGUUGUAAAGUACUUUCAGUCGGGAGGAAGGUGGUAAGGUUAAUAACCUUAUCAAUUGACGUUACCGACAGAAGAAGCACCGGCUAACUCCGCGCCAGCAGCCGCGGUAAUACGGAGGGUGCAAGCGUUAAUCGGAAUUACUGGGCGUAAAGCGCACGCAGGCGGUUGAUUGAGUCAGAUGUGAAAUCCCCGGGCUUAACCCGGGAAUUGCAUCUGAUACUGGUCAGCUAGAGUCUUGUAGAGGGGGGUAGAAUUCCAGGUGUAGCGGUGAAAUGCGUAGAGAUCUGGAGGAAUACCGGUGGCGAAGGCGGCCCCCUGGACAAAGACUGACGCUCAGGUGCGAAAGCGUGGGGAGCAAACAGG